rnacentral:rRNA from 1 species
GACGAACGCUGGCGGCGUGCUUAACACAUGCAAGUCGAACGGAAAGGCCCUGCUUUUGUGGGGUGCUCGAGUGGCGAACGGGUGAGUAACACGUGAGUAACCUGCCCUUGACUUUGGGAUAACUUCAGGAAACUGGGGCUAAUACCGGAUAGGAGCUCCUGCUGCAUGGUGGGGGUUGGAAAGUUUCGGCGGGUGGGGAUGGACUCGCGGCGUAUCAGCUUGUUGGUGGGGUAGUGGCUUACCAAGGCUUUGACGGGUAGCCGGCCUGAGAGGGUGACCGGCCACAUUGGGACUGGGAUACGGCCCAGACUCCUACGGGAGGCAGCAGUGGGGAAUAUUGCACAAUGGGCGGAAGCCUGAUGCAGCAACGCCGCGUGCGGGAUGACGGCCUUCGGGUUGUAAACCGCUUUCGCCUGUGACGAAGCGUGAGUGACGGUAAUGGGUAAAGAAGCACCGGCUAACUACGUG